AGGGAAGAACUUUGCUUCCUUGUCGAUAACAAUCAGGUUCCACUUUGGGCUUCUUCACGGUUGAAGAUAGGGUGGGAUUGUUGAUAGUUUUACAUGGUUUCUGCUUCGAGGACCGUUCGUAGGUGGUUGACAGCGACACUUUCUCCGUUUGUUGACAGGACUACGUGAGACUCUGCACGGAUACUGUGACACGUGACUCUAGCCCCCAUCACUGAUGAGGGUUUACGUGUGGUUCUGGGUAACCGCUCUCCUGCGGACAGUGGAUGGAUUUGCAGGGCGAACCAUGGAACAAUCAUCAACCUCGACCGUCAAACCAGACAUGACAUCCAACAUCGAUACCACUUCAGGCGCCACUCCGAAUGUUGCUCAGACGUCGUCUCGUCCCCCAGGCAAGUGCAUGCAACAGUUCGUUGUGACGUAUCAACAUACAAAGUUAAUAUGUCAUAACGCUGUACCAAAUACAACUACUGGUUUGGGAUCAAAAGCCU